UACAGAGGGGGCUAGCGUUGUUCGGAAUUACUGGGCGUAAAGGGCGCGUAGGUGGCCUGUUAAGUCGAACGUGAAAUCCCCGGGCUCAACCCGGGAACUGCGUCCGAGACUGGCAGGCUCGAAUCCGGGAGAGGGAUGCGGAAUUCCAGGUGUAGCGGUGAAAUGCGUAGAUAUCUGGAGGAACACCGGUGGCGAAGGCGGCAUCCUGGACCGGCAUUGACGCUGAGGCGCGAAAGCCAGGGGAGCAAACAGG
rnacentral:rRNA from 1 species